GUAGGUGGCAAGCGUUGUCCGGGAAUUAUUGGGGCGUAAAGCGCGCGCAGGCGGUUCUUUAAGUCUGAUGUGAAAGCCCACGGGCUCAACCGUGGAGGGUCAUUGGAAACUGGAGAACUUGAGUACAGAAGAGGAAAGCGGAAUUCCACGUGUAGCGGUGAAAUGCGUAGAGAUGUGGAGGAACACCAGUGGCGAAGGCGGCUUUCUGGUCUGUAACUGACGCUGAGGCGCGAAAGCGUGGGGAGCAAACAGGAUUAGAUACCCUGGUAGUCCACGCCGUAAACGAUGAGUGCUAAGUGUUAGGGGGUUUCUGCCCCUUAGUGCUGCAGCUAACGCAUUAAGCACUCCGCCUGGGGAGUACGGCCGCAAAGGCUG
rnacentral:rRNA from 1 species